GUAGUAGCUCAGUUGGUUAGAGCAUCGGAUUGUGGUUCCGAGGGUCGAGGGUUCGAGUCCCUUUUA
rnacentral:tRNA from 1 species